GAUGAACGCUGGCGGCGUGCUUAACACAUGCAAGUCGAACGGAAAGGCCCAAGCUUGCUUGGGUACUCGAGUGGCGAACGGGUGAGUAACACGUGGGUGAUCUGCCCUGCACUUCGGGAUAAGCCUGGGAAACUGGGUCUAAUACCGGAUAGGACCACGUCUUGGAUGUUAUGGUGGAAAGUUUUUUCGGUGUGGGAUGAGCUCGCGGCCUAUCAGCUUGUUGGUGGGGUAAUGGCCUACCAAGGCGUCGACGGGUAGCCGGCCUGAGAGGGUGUACGGCCACAUUGGGACUGAGAUACGGCCCAGACUCCUACGGGAGGCAGCAGUGGGGAAUAUUGCACAAUGGGCGCAAGCCUGAUGCAGCGACGCCGCGUGGGGGAUGACGGCCUUCGGGUUGUAAACUCCUUUCGCUAGGGACGAAGCGUUUUUGUGACGGUACCUGGAGAAGAAGCACCGGCUAACUACGU
rnacentral:rRNA from 1 species